UGGGGAAUCAUGGUCAAUGGGCGAAAGCCUGAACCUGCGACGCCGCGUGAGUGAUGAAGGUCGUAAGAUCGUAAAACUCUUUUCAGGGAUCUUAAAGCCUGUCUGUCAACAACAGGCAGGUCUGACUCUCCCUGGAAGAAGCCCCAGCCAACUACGUGCCAGCAGCUGCGGUACUACGUAGGGGGCGAGCGUUAUUCGGAAUUACUGGGUGUAAAGGGUAUGUAGGCGGCCCUUCAAGUCGCGUGUCAAAGUCCAGUGCUCAACGCUGGGUGUGCACGCGAUACUGGCGGGGUUGAGGGCUGGAGAGGUGAGGGGAAUUCCCGGUGUAGUGGUAAAAUACGUAGAGAUCGGGAGGAACACCAGCGGCGCAGGCGGCUCACUAGACAGUUUCUGACGCUAAGAUACGAAAGCGUGGGGAGCAAACA
rnacentral:rRNA from 1 species